ACUGGUGCCGGAGUCACGCCCGAUCACCGAGGGGCCCUCCUAGGUCGCACGGUCUGCAUUGCACUCGGCAGACAUCCGUCCUACCACUGGGCCUGAUCGGUCCAGCUGGGGCACGUAAUUUUUGGUAGUGGGGAUUUGGCCGUCCCCG
rnacentral:snRNA from 1 species